UACGUAGGGUGCAAGCGUUGUCCGGAAUUAUUGGGCGUAAAGAGCUCGUAGGCGGUCUGUCGCGUCGGAUGUGAAAACCCGGGGCUUAACCCCGGGCCUGCAUUCGAUACGGGCAGACUCGAGUGUGGUAGGGGAGACUGGAACUCCUGGUGUAGCGGUGGAAUGCGCAGAUAUCAGGAGGAACACCGGUGGCGAAGGCGGGUCUCUGGGCAGUAACUGACGCUGAGGAGCGAAAGCGUGGGGAGCGAACAGG
rnacentral:rRNA from 1 species